rnacentral:tRNA from 13 species
GCGCCCGUAGCUCAGCCUGGAUAGAGCGCUUGCCUCCGGAGCAAGAGGUCACAGGUUCGAAUCCUGUCGGGCGCA